UACAGAGGUCUCAAGCGUUGUUCGGAUUCAUUGGGCGUAAAGGGCGCGUAGGCGGCUCUGUUAGUCAGGCGUGAAAGCCCUGGGCUCAACCUGGGGACUGCGCUUGAUACGGCGGGGCUUGAGGGCAGGAGAGGCUCGCGGAAUUCCCAGUGUAGAGGUGAAAUUCGUAGAUAUUGGGAAGAACACCGGUGGCGAAGGCGGCGAGCUGGCCUGUUACUGACGCUGAGGCGCGACAGCGUGGGGAGCAAACAGG
rnacentral:rRNA from 1 species